rnacentral:rRNA from 1 species
GACGUAGGGGGCAAGCGUUGUCCGGAAUCAUUGGGCGUAAAGCGCUCGUAGGUGGAUCGGUAAGUCUGCAAAGAAAGACCCGGGCUCAACGUCGGGGAACGGUGUGGAUACUACCGAUCUUGGAGGCAAUCAGAGGAUGAUGGAAUUCCCGGUGUAGCGGUGAAAUGCGUAGACUAUCGGGAGGAACACCUGUGGCGAAAGCGGCUCACUGGACCGCAACUGGACGCUGAGGCGCGAAAGCUAGGGGAGCAA